CAGUUUUCAGGUUUGGUGGAGAGCUUAGCUAGCAUAAUUCAGAAGGCUUUACAUUAGGCCAGAAAAGAAGUCAAGACUAGUUUGCUCCAGCAUUAUACACUUAAGUGUUCAAUGAGAGUAUUAAGACAGUCAAACACGAAUGGCUUGCUCCAUAUAUAAAUCGUAGAGACUGUAUUUAGCCAGAACAUCCAGAAGACUUAUGCAUCUGAUAAAAAAGAGGUUUAAAACUGGCUGCUCCAAAGAGAGAGUUUUUUUGCCAUCCAAGGGAACGGCUUGCUCUUAUUCUAAACAGUGCAGAGAGCAUUGCUCCCACUAUAAACACUUAAGUGGUGCUGAGAGGAAGAGAAUUUUUGAAGAAAGUGAAGAUGCUGCAGAAAGCAUUAGAAACCAUUAAUAAUGAAUUGUAAAAAGUGGCUGAUAACCCUUGAAGGAAACAGGACUACUCCUGAGGAAGUCUUUAGACACGAACUGAGUUUAUAUCUGGGCGCUUAUAGGGAUUGACCUUUCUUGUAAUGUUGUGGAUGAACCCUCUUUGCAAAGUUGCACUUCUUUAUAAUAUAAUACAUACGACAGA